AUAUUGGUCAAUGGCCGAGAGGCUGAACCAGCCAAGUCGCGUGAAGGAAGAAGGAUCUAUGGUUUGUAAACUUCUUUUAUAGGGGAAUAAAGUGGAGGACGUGUCCUUUUUUGUAUGUACCCUAUGAAUAAGCAUCGGCUAACUCCGUGCCAGCAGCCGCGGUAAUACGGAGGAUGCGAGCGUUAUCCGGAUUUAUUGGGUUUAAAGGGUGCGUAGGUGGUGAUUUAAGUCAGCGGUGAAAGUUUGUGGCUCAACCAUAAAAUUGCCGUUGAAACUGGGUUACUUGAGUGUGUUUGAGGUAGGCGGAAUGCGUGGUGUAGCGGUGAAAUGCAUAGAUAUCACGCAGAACUCCGAUUGCGAAGGCAGCUUACUAAACCAUAACUGACACUGAAGCACGAAAGCGUGGGGAUCAAACAGGAUUAGAUACCCUGGUAGUCCACGCAGUAAACGAUGAUUACUAGGAGUUUGCGAUACAAUGUAAGCUCUACAGCGAAAGCGUUAAGUAAUCCACCUGGGGAGUACGCCGGCAACGGUGAAACUCAAAGGAAUUGACGGGGGCCCGCACAAGCGGAGGAACAUGUGGUUUAAUUCGAUGAUACGCGAGGAACCUUACCCGGGUUUGAACGUAGUCUGACCGGAGUGGAAACACUUUUUCUAGCAAUAGCAGAUUACGAGGUGCUGCAUGGUUGUCGUCAGCUCGUGCCGUGAGGUGUCGGCUUAAGUGCCAUAACGAGCGCAACCCUUAUCUUUAGUUACUAACAGGUGAUGCUGAGGACUCUAGAGAGACUGCCGUCGUAAGAUGUGAGGAAGGUGGGGAUGACGUCAAAUCAGCACGGCCCUUACAUCCGGGGCGACACACGUGUUACAAUGGCAUGGACAAAGGGCAGCUACCUGGCGACAGGAUGCUAAUCUCCAAACCAUGUCUCAGUUCGGAUCGGAGUCUGCAACUCGACUCCGUGAAGCUGGAUUCGCUAGUAAUCGCGCAUCAGCCAUGGCGCGGUGAAUACGUUCCCGGGCCUUGUACACACCGCCCGUCAAGCCAUGGGAG
rnacentral:rRNA from 1 species